rnacentral:tRNA from 1 species
CGCCGCCGUGGCCGGGCGCCACGGGUCCGGCGCCGGUGGCGCCGGGCAGCCCGGCGCCGUUCGUACCGCCGCCGGCGCC